rnacentral:tRNA from 3 species
GCCGAGGUGGUGAAAUGGUAGACACAGGAGACUUAAAAUCUCCCGGCCGCAAGGCUGUACGGGUUCAAGUCCCGUUCUCGGCA